GAUGAACGCUGGCGGCGUGCCUAAUACAUGCAAGUCGAACGCACAGCGAAAGGUGCUUGCACCUUUCAAGUGAGUGGCGAACGGGUGAGUAACACGUGGACAACCUGCCUCAAGGCUGGGGAUAACAUUUGGAAACAGAUGCUAAUACCGAAUAAAACUUAGUGUCGCAUGAUACAAAGUUAAAAGGCGCUUCGGCGUCACCUAGAGAUGGAUCCGCGGUGCAUUAGUUAGUUGGUGGGGUAAAGGCCUACCAAGACGAUGAUGCAUAGCCGAGUUGAGAGACUGAUCGGCCACAUUGGGACUGAGACACGGCCCAAACUCCUACGGGAGGCUGCAGUAGGGAAUCUUCCACAAUGGGCGAAAGCCUGAUGGAGCAACGCCGCGUGUGUGAUGAAGGCUUUCGGGUCGUAAAGCACUGUUGUAUGGGAAGAACAGCUAGAAUAGGAAAUGAUUUUAGUUUGACGGUACCAUACCAGAAAGGGACGGCUAAAUACGUGCCAGCAGCCGCGGUAA
rnacentral:rRNA from 1 species